UAGAAUAGAAUUUGAGGUCUGACCUGCCCACUGAAUUAUUAAAUGGCCGCAGUAAUUUGACUGUGCAAAGGUAGCAUAAUCAUUAGUUUUUUAAUUAAAAGCUUGUAUGAAUGGUUGGACGAAAUAAAUACUGUCUUUAAAUAAUAAAUAGAAUUUAAUUUUUAAGUUAAAAAGCUKAAAUAUUWAUAAAAGACGAGAAGACCCUAUAGAUCUUUAUAUUAUUUUAUAUAUAUUUAAUUAAGAUUAUUUUAUUAUUUAUAUUUAAUAAUAUUUUAUUGGGGUAAUAAAAAGAUUAAAUUAAUUCUUUAUUAUUUUAAAURUUAAUUAAUAGAUUUUUGAUCCUUUAUUAGAGAUUAUAAGAUUAAGUUACCUUAGGGAUAACAGCGUAAUUUUUUUAAAGAGUUCAUAUCGAUAAAAAAGUUUGCGACCUCGAUGUUGGAUUAAAAAUUAUUCUAGGUGUAGUAGUUUAGAAUYUUGGUCUGUUCGACCAUUAAAUUUUUACAUGAUCUGAGUUCAGACCGGCGUAAGCCAGGUCGGUUUCUAUCUUUAUUUAAUUAAUAUAUUUUAGUACGAAAGGACCAAAUAUAAAUUAUAUUUAUAAUUAAAUUUUUGAAUUAUA
rnacentral:rRNA from 2 species